rnacentral:rRNA from 1 species
AUUCUUAAUCCAACAUCGAGGUCGUAAUUUAUUUUGGGAAUUUGAUCUUCUCAAAAAUUUUACGCUGUUAUCCCUUAGGUAAUUUAGUUUAUUUCUUAUUUGGAUAAUUUAAUUUGAUUAAAUUCAUUUUAUUAUAUUAAAAGAUUUAAUUAUUUUAAAAUCUCCCCAAUUUAACAAAUUAUAUUUAAUUAAAAUUAAUUUUAAUUGUUAAAUUCUAAAGGGUCUUCUUGUCUUUUGAUUUAAUUUAAGAUUUUUCACUUAAAUAUUAAUUUGUACUAUUUUAGUUAAAAAAGUUAGUUUUUCAUUUUUUCCUUCAUUCAAGCUUUGAAUUAUAAAGCAAUUUAUUAUGCUACCUUAGUACAGUUAAUUUACUGCAGCUAUUUAAGAUUUAUCAUUGAGCAGAACUUAUCUAAA